rnacentral:misc_RNA from 1 species
GAUGAAGAACGCAGCGAAAUGCGAAAAGUAAUGUGAAUUGCAGAAUUCAGUGAAUCAUCGAAUCUUUGAACGCACAUUGCGCCCGCCAGUAUUCUGGCGGGCAUGCCUGUCUGAGCGUCAUUUCAACCCUCAUGCCCCUAGGGCGUGGUGUUGGGGAUCGGCCAGCGCCCGCGAGGGACGGCCGGCCCCUAAAUCUAGUGGCGGACCCGUCGUGGCCUCCCCUGCGAAGUAGUGAUAUUCCGCAUAGGAGAGCGACGAUCCCCUGCCGUUAAACCCCCAACUUUCUAAGGUUGACCUCAGAUCAGGUAGGAAUACCCGCUGAACUUAAGCAUAUCAAUAAGCGGAGGA